UUGAACGCUGGCGGCAGGCCUAACACAUGCAAGUCGAACGGUAACAGGAAGCAGCUUGCUGCUUCGCUGACGAGUGGCGGACGGGUGAGUAAUGUCUGGGAAGCUGCCUGAUGGAGGGGGAUAACUACUGGAAACGGUAGCUAAUACCGCAUAAUGUCGCAAGACCAAAGAGGGGGACCUUAGGGCCUCUUGCCAUCGGAUGUGCCCAGAUGGGAUUAGCUUGUUGGUGGGGUAACGGCUCACCAAGGCGACGAUCCCUAGCUGGUCUGAGAGGAUGACCAGCCACACUGGAACUGAGACACGGUCCAGACUCCUACGGGAGGCAGCAGUGGGGAAUAUUGCACAAUGGGCGCAAGCCUGAUGCAGCCAUGCCGCGUGUAUGAAGAAGGCCUUCGGGUUGUAAAGUACUUUCAGCGGGGAGGAAGGGAGUAAAGUUAAUACCUUUGCUCAUUGACGUUACCCGCAGAAGAAGCACCGGCUAACUCCGUGCCAGCAGCCGCGGUAAUACGGAGGGUGCAAGCGUUAAUCGGAAUUACUGGGCGUAAAGCGCACGCAGGCGGUUUGUUAAGUCAGAUGUGAAAUCCCCGGGCUCAACCUGGGAACUGCAUCUGAUACUGGCAAGCUUGAGUCUCGUAGAGGGGGGUAGAAUUCCAGGUGUAGCGGUGAAAUGCGUAGAGAUCUGGAGGAAUACCGGUGGCGAAGGCGGCCCCCUGGACGAAGACUGACGCUCAGGUGCGAAAGCGUGGGGAGCAAACAGGAUUAGAUACCCUGGUAGUCCACGCCGUAAACGAUGUCGACUUGGAGGUUGUGCCCUUGAGGCGUGGCUUCCGGAGCUAACGCGUUAAGUCGACCGCCUGGGGAGUACGGCCGCAAGGUUAAAACUCAAAUGAAUUGACGGGGGCCCGCACAAGCGGUGGAGCAUGUGGUUUAAUUCGAUGCAACGCGAAGAACCUUACCUGGUCUUGACAUCCACGGAAGUUUUCAGAGAUGAGAAUGUGCCUUCGGGAACCGUGAGACAGGUGCUGCAUGGCUGUCGUCAGCUCGUGUUGUGAAAUGUUGGGUUAAGUCCCGCAACGAGCGCAACCCUUAUCCUUUGUUGCCAGCGGUCCGGCCGGGAACUCAAAGGAGACUGCCAGUGAUAAACUGGAGGAAGGUGGGGAUGACGUCAAGUCAUCAUGGCCCUUACGACCAGGGCUACACACGUGCUACAAUGGCGCAUACAAAGAGAAGCGACCUCGCGAGAGCAAGCGGACCUCAUAAAGUGCGUCGUAGUCCGGAUUGGAGUCUGCAACUCGACUCCAUGAAGUCGGAAUCGCUAGUAAUCGUGGAUCAGAAUGCCACGGUGAAUACGUUCCCGGGCCUUGUACACACCGCCCGUCACACCAUGGGAGUGGGUUGCAAAAGAAGUAGGUAGCUUAACCUUCGGGAGGGCGCUUACCACUUUGUGAUUCAUGACUGGGGUG
rnacentral:rRNA from 1 species